UAAAGGCCUACCAAGGCUACGAUCUGUAGCGGGUCUGAGAGGAUGAUCCGCCACACUGGAACUGAGACACGGUCCAGACUCCUACGGGAGGCAGCAGUGGGGAAUUUUGGACAAUGGGGGCAACCCUGAUCCAGCCAUGCCGCGUGAGUGAAGAAGGCCUUCGGGUUGUAAAGCUCUUUCGGCCGGGAAGAAAUCGCAUAGGCUAAUACCCUGUGUGGAUGACGGUACCGGAAUAAGAAGCACCGGCUAACUACGUGCCAGCAGCCGCGGUAAUACGUAGGGUGCGAGCGUUAAUCGGAAUUACUGGGCGUAAAGCGUGCGCAGGCGGUUUAGUAAGACAGGCGUGAAAUCCCCGGGCUCAACCUGGGAACUGCGCUUGUGACUGCUAAGCUAGAGUACGGCAGAGGGGGGUGGAAUUCCACGUGUAGCAGUGAAAUGCGUAGAGAUGUGGAGGAACACCGAUGGCGAAGGCAGCCCCCUGGGCCGAUACUGACGCUCAUGCACGAAAGCGUGGGUAGCAAACAGGAUUAGAUACCCUGGUAGUCCACGCCCUAAACGAUGUCAACUAGGUGUUGGGAGGGUAAAACCUUUUAGUACCGGAGAUAACGCGUGAA
rnacentral:rRNA from 1 species